CAGCAGAGAAACAGCUUCAUCGUCCUCCUCACUCUCUCUCACCUUGCGAACUCAACCUUAGCUAGCAAUGGUAAUCUCACGCACUCGAAACUCAUCCUUCUUAUGACAUCAACAAAACCCUCUCACGCUCUCAACGAACCCCUCUCAAUCACUCUCAGCUCUCACAAUAUUUCCAACAGCAAGCACAUGAGAAAGAUAAAAAAGAAAGAAAAAGAAGUACUCACAAAGCGUCACGGCGGCGAUGGUGAAGGACGCGAAGAAGCUGGCCUCCAGGGUUUCCAAUGGGGUCUUUGCUGUUCAAAAGGAGUGUUUCUGCAAAGCACUUUGGAUGCUCAGACACAUAAUCACCCUAUCCAUGUUAGAUUCAAGAAAAGUGAAAAUUGGUUACAAGGAGGUUGUGGAUGUUGGUAACAUAUUGUAGUGACAACUUGUGUUUUGUCAUGACUUUAACUUGUUUGUGCAUGAACUGCUGCCAGGGUCUUGAAUGGAACAUACACAUCUCUGUCAUGGUCUGCUUCAUGAAGUAGCAGGAUAUGGUCUUGAUUUGGACUUGUCGAUGCAGAUUGUUGGUUGUUGCUAUAGCAGUUGAUGGUUGAUGCAGGUUCAAUGACUGGGCUGGUUCAACAUAUCUGCUUCUGCCUUCAUUGGGACUUAAUGCAGGAUGGUAUUUUUGCUUCCUGAUUGUACAUCCUUGGAUCCUUCAGGAAGGCCCAUCUUCUCUACCAAAACCUUCAAAGCUGCUUCAGUAGGCAUUCCAUGGGCAACAAACUUAUGCUCUGACUGUGACACUCCGGCAUCAUUACAAACAGCAGCAAUUUUCGCUAUCAUCUGAAGAUUAGCAUCCAAUCGACCAGCUGGCAAAAUUCUCUAUUUGACCAUCAGAUGGAUUAUACGUAGUUCCUUCCACCUUAGAGGCUCGCAGGGUAUCUACAUUAGGGCCACUAGCUACUAGUUUUGAAACAGCCAUCCGGUUUGUUGUCAAUGUACCAGUUUUUAUCAGAGCAAAUCACAGUUGUACAACCCAGAGUUUCGACACUAGGUAGUUUCCGAACCAGGGCAUUCUUCUGGGUCAUUUUGCAAGUACCAAGUGCAAGGCAAGUCGUGAUGACAGCGGGCAAUCCCUCCGGAAUAGCAGCCACAGCCAAUGCCACAGCAAUCUCAAAGUAAUACGUACACUUCUCAAAUGAAAACUUGAAGUUCCACUUUGAGCAAUAGUUCCAAGACAGUCAACUAGUUCUUGCUUAGUCAUACCAAUGCCUGUAUCAGUGAUAGUGAUGAUCCCCAUUAUCCUUAUCAGCUUGAAUUCGGAUAUCAAAAUCAAUUGCAUCCUUCAUCAGGUCAAGCUCUGUAACACUAAAAAAUCGCAGCUUAUCCAAGGCAUCACUUGCAUUACUGAUAAGUUCCCUGAGAAACACUUCCUUGUUACUGUAUAAACUGUUAACAAUAAGGUCCAUGAGCCGACUAAACUCUGCUUGGUAUUCAAAUUUUUCAGCUGGUGGGGAACUUGAUGCAAAUUGUUGGCAAUGCUGCAGGAUCGGUGCCGACUACAACGCUCAAUUGCGUACCGGUUUGAGGCAGCUCACGUCAUAACAAAUGGUUCGGUGGUUCCCUGCGGAGUAGCUCUUGGUUGCAUCCACCUUGGAGGAAAGUCUGAGCAAAGUGCAUCCACCACCAACUACAAUACCCUCUUCAACAGCUGCCUUUGUAGCAUUAAAAGCGUCUUCAACUCUCAAUUUCUUUUCCUAGAGUUUUGUCUCAGUUUGUGCACCAACCUGAGCAAUUGAGCCAUCGGAGUUCUUUAAGGGCAAAGGGAUAUCCAUAGUAACCAGUUUUCCAGAUUUAUGAGAAGCGAUACAGUUACUUCCCAAAUAGAAUCAUAACUGAUGGACCUUUAGCAUGUCCCUUUAAAACCUCAUUUCAAUCACACAAUUUAAGGGAAAUAAAGAGGAUCGUUUUGCUUCCCAUGUUGGGUAUGUUCAAAGCUGCAUUUUCACUGACCGUGUUAUGAUUGAAUAACCGCAACGAACGUUGUUGUUCCAUGUAGCAGUGCAGUAGCAGUACAUGAGUUUUUCGCCUUCUUGGUCAGUUUAGAGUGAAUUACCAAUUGUCAAAGCUAGUUAACAUGGAAGGUUAUAACAAUUGGAUACUUUUGGUUACAGAGUUCACUCUUAAAUCUUUGCAGUCAUGGCAGUGGGCUAGCAACAGUGUAUACUACCUGUUGGGGUUGUGGUCCAGAUUGGCGGUUUCUGUUCCAUAUUUGAAGGGUGAUACACCAAGCUUACUUGGUGAAAUGUUCUUAAGAUUACGGAAAAUGUCAUCACGUCAAGAUUCAAUCAUGUGCAGGUUGGAUUGGUUGCAAAGUUGUAGGCUCAUUUGACUGUGGUGCUGCUACAGCUUAUUAUUUGGUGGCUAUGUGGAGUAGCAACUGGUGUUCACGAAGAAAUAUACAAGUAAUCACACCGAGAGACCCUAAAACUAAUAUGAAUUUCACAAGUUCAUCUUUAGCUGCAGACACUGAUCUUUUUUUUCUCUUCCAACAAAAUUCAAAAGCAGUUCAUGGAUGCAUGCGUAUAUAGAUUCUUCUUCAAUGCUUAGCUUGGCUCCUUGCCGCACUUCGUCUCGCAUAGCAUCCAACAAAGUAUAUGAUAGACAAAACAGAAAAUAAUACGACAUUGAAUAUCGCAACAACUCUCCACUCAGUUUUCAUGUAUUGCGCCACGCCGGCCUUGCAAGAAUCACAACAAUAGCAUUUGAAAGCUCGAGAAUUUUUUUGUACCGCUUGCAGUCAUGGUUAGGACUAACUGGAUGAAAGCUCAAGUCAUAGUAAGAUGCAUUUACAGCAGGAUAUCCACACUCAGAAGGCGGCCGACAGCAACUAGAUUCAAUUGGACUCAAAUCUUCAAUCUCUGCAAAAUAGGUGACUGCCCAAGCAAUGGCAGGAAAGCCAUCCAAAUUCAACCGGUUGCCAUGCAUUUUGCAGAUGAAUGCCAUCUUAGGCAUGCAACAUCAACAUGAGCAUUGCAUCUUGUUGUGGUUGAUGUGCUGCCAAUACUUACCUUGCUGUAGGAUUUUAUUAUCGACAUGGAUGAACUGCUGUCAUGCUGCAGAUUGUGUUGUUCUGCAAGCCUAAACCAGUACUUCAUGGCUUGUGCUUUGUAGGUUUGUGAUAGUGGUCAAGGCAUUUGCAAGGUUACUUGUGAGCGAAGCAACAAGGUGAAAGCACAAUCAACAUGUCUACUGGAUGAUUAAUCAAGGCAAAGUAACAUGGGAUUAUGUCCAAGUUUGGGAAAUCAGGGCUUCAGAAUUUUAGGGUUGACUUUGGUCAAAGUUGACCAAAAAGUCAACUGUUGACCAAAGUCAACAAAUGGUCCAAACUCAUUUUCUUGGCACUUUCUUUGUAAAUGGACAAUGUAUUGAUAAUCAUGGUGAAAUUUAGGGUAUUUGGAUUUUGGGUGACUUUGGUCAAAGUUGACCAAAAAGUCAACUGUUGGUCAAAGUGUCAAUUUUUGUGUAUUUUUGUAUGGAAUCAAAUGUAAUAAAAUUGAAAUGGAUUAACAAAAUGGUUUGAAGUUGGUUUCCAA